CUGAAGAGAGGUAGGAUGUUACGAAAGAAGGCGUUUCUGAAAGAGUUGCUGUGGGAAGAUGUGGAGACUUCUCUGUAAACCUUCCAGACUCUCUGUGCACACACAGAUGCAGGUGUCCAGGGAGGCAGGGGGAUGGACAAAAUGAAUUGCAACAUGAAAAUUUCUUAGGGGCUGUGGACCAGUCCAGAAGACCCUUUUGGCAAUCCUAACUUCUGUGGGUCUCUCCAGUCUGAAAGACCCGCAUCGAUCUCACACCACAAAAUGGAGUUCUUCUGGGAAGGACUUGUUCUAACAGGCCUGAGAGUGAGGUGACCUUGUGGCCAUUUUCUGUGACAGAGACACCUAAAAAGAGUCUGUUGUGAGUCUGGAGACAUUGAGAACCCUACAUCUUGUUUCUACCAGAUCCUUCUCCCUGUCCAUCUCAUCACUCUGAAGUUGGUGAACACAGAGCUGACAACAGAACCCCAGGCACAAAGAAUCAGGAUAAGAGGAACUCCUCCUCUUCACAUUCAGAAGCCCAAGAAGACACCUUUCUGCUGGCAUCCAUCAAGGUGGUAUAUCUUCAUUGUCCCAGUUCUACUUUACUCAGGCCCUCUGGAUCCUCCCACCCAUUCUCCUACAGGUUAAAAUUACCAUGAGGCCAGGCACGGUGGCUUAUGCUAUAAUCCCAGCACUUUGGGAGACCAAGGUGGGAGGAUUGCUGAAGGCCAGGAGUUUGAGACCAACUUCAGGCAAGAAGAUUACUUGAGUCCAGGAGUUUGAGACCAGCCUGAACAAUACAGCAAGACCCUAUCUCUACAAAAAAAAUUAAAAUUAGCCAUGUGUGGCGGUGCACGUCUGUAGUCUCAGCUACCUGGGAGGCUGAGGUGGGAAGAAUGCUUGAGCCCAGGAGGUUGAGGCUGCAGUGAGCCAUAAUCACACUACUGCCUGGGUGACCAAGUGAGACCCCGAUUCAAAAAUAAAAAGGAAAACAAACAAAAUUACAAAGCGAAAUUUAAAAAAGAACCAAACUCUAAAAAUAUGUAUGUAUGUUUGUGCGGUUUCUUGUGUAUGUUUGUGUGGUAUCUCAUGUUUGUAUGUGUGGGUGUUAUCAGACUCUCAGGCUUGGGAGCCCCUCUGGAACCCAGCAGUUUCUGCAGCCUUACAGGCUGGCACUCCUUAAACAUAGGUUCCAUUCUAAACUUUAAUUUACAUCCACAUAGUAGGCCACAUUACUCAAUAGCAGUUCCGAGACUUAGAAUAUUCUUCUCCAUGUUGAGAGGAAAUUCCUAUUCUAUAGAUCUCAUUUGGUAGAAUGGGGUACAAAAAAUUUAGGAUUUGGAUUUAGAUUAGCACUGAAGUCCCAUUUUGCCUCUUAUUAACAAAUAGACCACUGACAUCUAAAUUUCAUUUUCAAAUUAGGAAAUACGUACAGGUAAUAACAUAUUUGAAAACUUCUACCUUACUCAAAUUUAAAAUGCAAAUUAACAUAUCUUAAUUUGUUACUAAACGAAUAUUGAAGAAUAGAGUUAACAAUCAAUAUCUGGCUGGGCGCGGUGGCUCACGCCUGUAAUCCCAGCACUCUGGGAGGCCGAGGCGGGUGGAUCACGAGGUCAGGAGAUCGAGACCAUCCUGGCUAACACGGUGGAACCCAGUCUCUACUAAAAAUACAAAAAGUUAGCCGGGCAUGGUGGUGGGCACCUGUAGUCCCAGCUACUCAGGAGGCUGGGGCAGCAGAAUGGCGUGAACCCAGGAGGUGGAGCUUGCAGUGAGCCGAGAUCGUGCCACUGCACUCCAGCCUGGGCAACAGAGCAAGACUCCUUCUCAAAAACA
rnacentral:lncRNA from 10 species